AGUGAACGCUGGCGGCAGGCCUAACACAUGCAAGUCGAACGGCAGCACAGUAAGAGCUUGCUCUUACGGGUGGCGAGUGGCGGACGGGUGAGGAAUACAUCGGAAUCUACUUUUUCGUGGGGGAUAACGUAGGGAAACUUACGCUAAUACCGCAUACGACCUACGGGUGAAAGCAGGGGAUCUUCGGACCUUGCGCGAUUGAAUGAGCCGAUGUCGGAUUAGCUAGUUGGCGGGGUAAAGGCCCACCAAGGCGACGAUCCGUAGCUGGUCUGAGAGGAUGAUCAGCCACACUGGAACUGAGACACGGUCCAGACCCCUACGGGAGGCAGCAGUGGGGAAUAUUGGACAAUGGGCGCAAGCCUGAUCCAGCCAUACCGCGUGGGUGAAGAAGGCCUUCGGGUUGUAAGGCCCUUUUGUUGGGAAAGAAAAGCAGCAGGUUAAUACCCCGCUGUUCUGACGGUACCCAAAGAAUAAGCACCGGCUAACUUCGUG
rnacentral:rRNA from 1 species